GUGCAUGUGUGUGUGCGUGUGUGUGUAUUCCUAUGUAUACACACAUAUGCUCACUGGCAUAUGCAUAUUUGAUUGGUCGUAAAUGAAACGCGUUCUGCUUUGUUUUUCCACUUCCAUCUUGUGAUUUAGUAACUGUGGAGCCGUGAAUAUAAGCGAAAUAUUCCAAUGAUUGUAAUAUGGGAGUGUAACGUCUACCUAGGACCACAGGGCAACCAUUCACUGGUGCGAUAUGUUUGUAUACGAGUCAUGUUUGUUACUAAUCGCAAAUGGUAGAACACCAAAUAUAUAGUGCUACUGCCGCUUCCCCACCAACAAACCACUGCCAUUGCUCUGCUGCUGCUGCUGCUACUACUGCCACUACCUCUACUACUACUACUACCGCUAUCACUACUACGACUACUACUGCCGAAUUUUAUUCCCUCCUACAAAAAAGCUCUCACCAAUACCCUCCAAACAUCCCCCUUCACAGAGCAGCAGCAACAGCGGCCGCCUCUACUCAGAGCUUCAAAUGUAGCGUGCUGUAUCAUCAUCAUCAUCACCAUCAUCACCAUCGUCAUCAUCAUCAUCAUCGUUUUCAUCGUGUGCCUCAACUAUCAUGACUAACAAGCCGAGGUGUCGGUUCUGUAUGCUGCUAAAAACAGCAGUCAGUCGAAAGUAUAUCUCCUUCCAUUCACAUCCCAAUUCUGUUUUUAAAAAAAGAAUGAUUGGCACUGGAUUUAUAUUGUUUGAAUGAAAAGACAUGACAUUCGUGGCUGGAAUCCCUCUGGUUUAUAGAGCAACCGAAUUUUACCUACCUGGGGCUAAACAGCAACGACAACGUGAGCAAAUAACAGCAAGAACGACCGACCACAAUAUUCAUUCAUUUAUUCAUCUAUGGUGUGGAUGACUUUCGGAUUAUACCCAAGGCACCAUUAUAUGUUUCUAAACGGAGAGCGAUUUAUGUAUGCACACACGCACGAUUUCAUGCGCGUGUGCACAAAGGACGCUGUGUGAAUUAACACACACACACACACACACACACACACACACAUUCACAUACACGUAUUUCUGUACAUACACACACACACACACAUUCACAUGCACGUAUGUCUAUACACACACACUGGUACACAGUCUUCCAACCGCAGCACACACGCAUAACUAACAUCCGAAAGGAAGCCGCUAUAAAAUAUGACUUGAUUGUUAAAACAGUUUCAUGCACACACACACACACACACACACACACACACACAAACGUACACGCACACUCACAUGCACACACGCAGACGCAAAUGCACACACACACACACACACAUACACACACAGACACACACACACACACACACACACCUACGCACACACAUCUCUAUCUUUUCGGAAUUAAAUGAUCGGUUUUAAAAGUGACAGAAAUCGUAGAGGUAAUCAGUGUGACUUCCAAAUUAAACUCUAAAAUCUGUGAAAUAUCGAUCACUGGAUAUUAUAAAAUAUAAUGUCGACGAUGCUGCUGCUGCUACUUCUACUACUGAUAAGAAAUGGUGAAACUGAAAUGUCGUUCACAUGACAAUGGUGAUGAUGAUGGAGGUUGUGGUGGUGGUGGUGGUAGAAAUGGAAGAAAACGGCUAAAGAAGAAUGGAAUCGAAAGAAAUAAUAGAAAAAAACAUAAAAAAGAUUUCAAAUAUAAAAAAAUAAAAAAUAAAAUGUUGCGGACAUUUACUUAAAAUGGCAGCCAUUACCGGAAGUUGUUAUGUUUUAUUCCUGAAUAUAUAUAGCAAGUAAGAUGGCAUUUGAAUAUUCCGAAUUGAGAUCUGGCGAUUCUUGACACUUCAAAACAAUAAACAGCAAAGUAAGUCGCAUAACAUUUAUUUAAUUAUUUAUGGUAUAUAUUACGAUGCACCUAUUUAAGUCUACACAUCACCUAACAAUUUACUGACGGUAAAUUGGCAGAAUCGUUAGAGUAUCAGACAAACUAAUUGCUGUCUUGCCAAUAUUUAGUUACAGUUAUGUACGUUAUUAGGUCAAAUAUUUCCACGGUUAGGUUUUUACUUUCAUCCUUCCUGGCGUAUUGAAAUAAACUGCUAGUAAAUAAGUAUUAGAGUCGAUUUGCUCGACUAACCUCUUCAAGGUGGUGUCCCAGCACUUCCACAGUCUAAUAACUGAAACAAAUAAAAGAUAUGUGUGUGUGUGUGUGUAUAUAUAUAUUGGGUCAACCCAUAAAUUAUGCAGUUUUUUAUACUUCUUUUAUUUUUCAAAAUUAAGAUAAACAAAGUUCUUUUUAAAUCUAAAAUAUACUUUCCUUCAUUUUCUACAAUGCUCUUCCAACUACCUAGCGGACUUGCAAGGCCCCUCUUCCAAAAUUCACUUGUCCGUGAUGAAAAAUACUCCUUCAGUACUGUUCUGACCUCAUCUACAGAUUUCAUAUUUUUUCCGUCCAAAUGAUUUUGAAGACUGCGAAAUAAAUGAUAAUCAGAUGGGACAAUAUCUGGCGAAUAUGGUGGGUGGGGAAUCGUUUCCCAUUCAAACUGCUUCAGCCUUUGGAAUGCCAUCCUCGCUGUAUGUGGCCGAGCAUUAUCCUGAUGGAAGAACACCUUUCGUCUUGAAACCAAAGAUGGUCGUUUUUCUUUUUGCGCUAACUUAAGCCGCUCAAGUUGCUCACAGUAGAUCUCCUUUGUUAUCAUUUGGUUUGGGUUUAAACGUUGAAAGUGGACUAAACCUUUCAUAUCCCACCAAACAGAUAACAACACCUUACGUGGGUGAAGAUCUUCUUUAGCCUCAGAUGCAGGUGUUUCUCCUUUCCCUACCCACUGACUUCGGCGCUUGACCUUUUUAUAUAGAACCCAUUUUUCGUCACCAGUCUCUACUCAUUCCAAAAAAGGUUCAUUUGUGAGAUGUGACAACAAAGAAGAGCACACAUUCACUAUCUGCGCGCGAUUAGACUCGGAAAGUUUGUGAAGAAGCUAUUGACCCAUUUUGAUGACUUUUCCGAUGGCACCCAGUUGUUGAUGAAUGGUUGAAUGACAAAAUCCAAGCUUCUCUGCUAGUUCCUCAACGGUUACAAUGGGAUUUUGUUCCACCAGGGUUUGCAAGAUGUCCUCGUCGAGUUCUACAGAUCUUCCAGGACGAAGCUCGUCUUUUAGGCUGUAGUUUCUGGCUCGGAAUUUCUGAACCACCGUUGACACUGGCUUACAUUUAUUGUCCAAUCCCCAUACACUGCAUUAAUAUUCUUCGCACUUUCCAUUGCAUUGUUGCCUUUAUUGAAUUUAUAAAGCAAAAUCUGCCGAAUAUGCUCCUUUGUUACUUCCAUUAUAGCUUUGAAAAAAUAACUGUUAAAAUCGAACUAUUCUUCAAAACUUGCACUAAAAAAAAGUUGAUGCAGGUAGUUUAUCCCGUCCCCCUCUGACUUUUAGUUCAGGCAAUUGAAAAAACCCGAAUUAUUUAUGGGAUGACCAUAUAUAUAUAUUUACACGCUCAUGUAUAUAUGCAUACCGAUUUCAAAUUUUGACACAAGGCCAGCAAUUUCGAGAGAGGGAUAGUCGAUUACAUCGACUCCAGUGCUCAACUGCUACUUAUUUUAUCGACUCCGAAAGGAUCAAAGGCAAAGUCGGCGGAAUUUAAACUCAGAACGUAAAAAUGGACGAAAUACUGCUAGGGCAUGUUAACGACUCCGCCAAACUCGCUACCUCGGUUGCUAGAAAAAUCAGUGUGACACAUGUUAUGUCAACACUGUACUGUUUCUAUUUUUCUUCCUCUUUUACAUUUUUUGUAAUUACAGAACAAUCUAGUCAACAGGCUUCCGUACAGUUUCCGUUUACCCAAUUUCACUCACAAAGUGAGUCUGCAUGAGGCUAUAGAUAACGGCGUUUACCCAAGAUGUCACGAAGCAGGAUUGAAAGCGGACCGAUACGUGUGUGUGUGUGUGUCUGUCUGUGUGUUUGUCUGUCUGUCUGUCAGUAUUUGGGGUAGGAACUGUAUAAGUGCGCUCCCGCGUCUGUUUGUGUUUGUAUGCAAAAGCGUUUGUAUACAAAAGAGUUGUAGUGUGUUCAUUUAAAAUGCCACAGUUAGAACUAAAUUAUUAUUUAAUUUUAACAAAGAUUAAACUUCUACCUUACAAUAAUAACAUUCAAUAAUUCUUGAGUGUAUGUUGGAGAAAAAAAAAGUGAGGAGGAAGGGGAGGAGGGGAGAAAGGGUAACUAGAGCCACCUCACUAACAUGUGUCUCCCAAUGGUGACAUACGUUACUCACGUGACACUUGAAACAUUCAAAGAGAAAUAAGCUUAUGCUAAAGAAAUUAUGCUUCGUACUUAAAAUAUUUUGCUUUCAUAUCUUUGUUUCUCCUCCCCUUCUCUUUACUCCACUCUCUUUCUAAUUUAUUGUCUCCCCCACACUCUCUUUCCCCCUCUUUCUCUCUCUCUCUCUCUCUCUCUCUCUCACAUGUAGAUAUAUUCAUACAUAUGUUUUUAUGUUGAGAAUAAAAAUAUUUUUAUACAUAUAUGAGUUUGGGUAUGUGUGCGUAUGUGGUUGUGCGUGUUCGGUUGUGAACAAAUAUGUCUAUUUAUGACUA